AGAUUGAACGCUGGCGGCAUGCCUAACACAUGCAAGUCGAACGGGAGUAGCAAUACUCUAGUGGCGGACGGGUGAGGAAUACGUAGGAAUUUGCCCUUAAGUGGGGGAUAACCCGGGGAAACCCGGAUUAAUACCGCAUGACCUCGAAAGAGCAAAGUGGGGGAUCGCAAGACCUCACGCUUUUGGAGAAGCCUACGUCGGAUUAGCUAGUUGGUGAGGUAAUGGCUCACCAAGGCGACGAUCCGUAACUGGUCUGAGAGGAUGAUCAGUCACACCGGAACUGAGACACGGUCCGGACUCCUACGGGAGCCAGCAGGUGGGGAAUAUGGACAAGUGGGCGCAAGCCUGACUCCAGCAAUGCCGCGUGUGUGAAGUAAGGCCUUGGUUGUAAAGCUAACGUUUAAGGUAGGGAAGAAAAACCGUCGACUACUAAC
rnacentral:rRNA from 1 species